rnacentral:rRNA from 1 species
CUGGCGGCGUGCUUAACACAUGCAAGUCGAACGAAGCACUCUGAUCGGAGAUCGUCGAAGAUUGGAUUUGACUUAGUGGCGGACGGGUGAGUAAUGUAUGAGCAACCUGCCUUCAGAGGGGGACAACAGUUGGAAACGACUGCUAAUACCGCAUAAUGUAUUGAGACGGCAUCGUCAUGAUACCAAAGGAGCAAUCCGCUGAAAGAUGGGCUCAUAUCUGAUUAGUUAGUUGGCAGGGUAACGGCCUACCAAGACUGCGAUCAGUAGCCGGACUGAGAGGUUGAACGGCCACAUUGGGACUGAGAUACGGCCCAGACUCCUACGGGAGGCAGCAGUGGGGAAUAUUGGGCAAUGGGCGAAAGCCUGACCCAGCAACGCCGCGUGAAGGAAGAAGGUCUUCGGAUUGUAAACUUCUUUUAUGAGGGACGAAGGACGUGACGGUACCUCAUGAAUAAGCCACGGCUAACUACGUGCCAGCCGCCGC